UAAGGAAUAUUGGACAAUGGACGCAAGUCUGAUCCAGCCAUGCCGCGUGAAGGAUGAAUGCCCUCUGGGUUGUAAACUUCUUUUACAGGGGAAGAAAGUUAUCUUUUUCAGGAUAUUUGACGGUACCCUAUGAAUAAGCACCGGCUAACUCCGUGCCAGCAGCCGCGGUAAUACGGAGGGUGCAAGCGUUAUCCGGAUUCACUGGGUUUAAAGGGUGCGUAGGCGGGUAUGUAAGUCAGUGGUGAAAUACCGGAGCUUAACUUCGGAACUGCCAUUGAUACUAUAUAUUUUGAAUAUUGUGGAGGUAAGCGGAAUAUGUCAUGUAGCGGUGAAAUGCUUAGAGAUGACAUAGAACACCGAUUGCGAAGGCAGCUUGCUACGCAAAUAUUGACGCUGANGCACGAAAGCGUGGGGAUCAAACAGGAUUAGGUACCCUGGUAGUCCGCGCCCUAAACGAUGAUUACUCGACAUUAGCGAUACACAGUUAGUGUCUGAGCGAAAGCAUUAAGUAAUCCACCUGGGAAGUACGACCGCAAGGUUG
rnacentral:rRNA from 1 species